rnacentral:rRNA from 1 species
UAAGAGGAGUGCUUAGCUUCGGCGAAGGUACGAAUUGAAGCCCCAGUAAACGGCGGCCGUAACUAUAACGGUCCUAAGGUAGCGAAAUUCCUUGUCGGGUAAGUUCCGACCCGCACGAAAGGCGCAACGAUCUGGGCACUGUCUCAACGAGAGACUCGGUGAAAUUAUAGUACCUGUGAAGAUGCAGGUUACCCGCGACAGGACGGAAAGACCCCGUGGAGCUUUACUGCAACCUGAUAUGGAAUGUUUGUACCGCUUGUACAGGAUAGGUAGGAGCCGAAGAGACGUGUGCGCUAGCAUACGAGGAGGCAAUGGUGGGAUACUACCCUGGCUGUAUGACCAUUCUAACCCGCCACGCUUAGCGCGUGGGGAGACAGUGUCAGGUGGGCAGUUUGACUGGGGCGGUCGCCUCCUAAAGAGUAACGGAGGCGCCCAAAGGUUCCCUCAGAAUGGAUGGAAAUCAUUCGCAGAGUGUAAAGGCACAAGGGAGCUUGACUGCGAGACUGACAAGUCGAGCAGGGACGAAAGUCGGGCUUAGUGAUCCGGUGGUUCCGCAUGGAAGGGCCAUCGCUCAACGGAUAAAAGCUACCCCGGGGAUAACAGGCUUAUCUCCCCCAAGAGUCCACAUCGACGGGGAGGUUUGGCACCUCGAUGUCGGCUCGUCGCAUCCUGGGGC